CGUCAAGUCAUCAUGCCCCUUAUGCCCAGGGCUGCACACACGCUACAAUGGCCGGUACAAUGGGCAGCGAAGUCGCGAGGCGGAGCGAAUCCAGAAAGCCGGUCGUAGUUCGGAUUGCAGGCUGCAACUCGCCUGCAUGAAGCCGGAGUUGCUAGUAACCGCGCAUCAGCAGUGGCGCGGUGAAUACGUUCCCGGGCCUU
rnacentral:rRNA from 1 species